UUGGAGGAUUGAUUGGGUUAGUGCUCUUUCGUGAUUGGAUGGUUGCAUGUUGGUGGUGGUUUUGUUGCGUGG
rnacentral:rRNA from 12 species